UUUUGUAAAAAUUGCAAAUCGACCUUUUCCCGUGAAGUAUAAUAAGACAUUUUUAUAAGAAAAAUUCGUUUUUACCGAAAAAAGUACGAUUCCACCAAAGAAGUCUAGGCUUUAGUGCCUCUUCUCUGGUCUCAUUAGUCUCACACUUGAUUCUUCUUCUUUAUAAGAUGAGGUAAAAUUAGUAAAAAUAUUUAUCCUUUAUUCGGGCUCGGAAUCGAUCAUCUAAGAUGUAGAUAGGCUUAAAAUUACCCAAAAUAAUAUUUCGUGUACAAUUUUUGUAUAAAAAGAAUAAAUACAAUCUAAUAAUGAAUAAAGAAACGAAGUAUAGUUACAAUAGUACCUUAGUAGUCUACAAUUGAACAUUUGAAAAGAUGGUUGACAAGCAUAUGAGUUUCUACAUUUUGAACUAGAGAAAAUUUAAAUCUUUAUAGUUUGAAUCGGACUACAAAUUACACAAUUCUAUAAUUCUUUUGUGUAGCAAGUAUAUAUUUGUUUAAAAUGUAAACUUUAUAUUAUUUUGAAUUAAUUGAAAAUAAUGUUCGAUUCCAUGUAAUUUGAGAUAGGGAUUGAACAUUACAAUUAAAAAAAUAAUUGGUACACGUUGAAAAAUAUUUUUAAAAGUAUUUUUCAUCACUAUGCAUACUUCGGGGAUAACAAAGAAUCUUCAUCUCUACCCUGUAAGAAUUCUAAAGAAAGAGAGGGGAUAACAUAAUUUAAAUUGGAAAAACAAAAUUUACAUUACAUAGAAGGCAAAAAUAUAUUUAGCACAUUGUAAAAUAAAAUGAAUAUAUUCUACUCACCAUAAGUCAAAACGAGAAAUUGAUGAUACAAAAAAUAGUUAUUACAUUUUUAUAACGAAUAAUGUUCUAAAAGCCCAAGCAAACCAUUACGAUGAUCGUUAUUCCUCACUUAAUUGCAUAAAGUAUUCAAUAUUUCAAGUUGUUAGUUCAAAUAGCCAUAUUCUAUACUUCUAGCUUUAUUAUAUUUUUGUUCAAAAUCUACAUGACCAAAAAAAAAAAAAAAUUGAAAUUGCAUCCCAUCAAUACUAUUUUGAAAACAUGAGGAAAAUCACCGUGAAAGUUUUUGUCUCC
rnacentral:lncRNA from 1 species